rnacentral:misc_RNA from 1 species
CUUCCAUCAACCAGCGGCCACACAUCAAUGAUGCAGAAUAAAAUUACAGAAAUGACCAACAACAGUGAAGAACAACAGACCUCAUCUUCCACCAAGGAGACCAUCAUAGAGGUGGUCAUUCAACCACCAACAACAGAGGCCAAGGUUGAAUGUGAUGCUCCCCCCGCUGUGAUCACCACUCAGCCAGCACAGUCUAAAAUAAAAUUACAGAAAUGACCAACAACAGUGAAGAACAACAGACCUCAUCUUCCACCAAGGAGACCAUCAUAGAGGUGGUAAUUCAGCCACCAACUCCAGAGGCCAAGGUUGAAUCUGAUGCUCCCCCUGCUGUGAUCACCACUCAGCCAGCACAGCCAAUGCCUGAACACGAUGACAGCAUUGCUUUGGUCAUGUGGGAAGCCACCGUUACUGGUCGACGCCUCAUCGACGAGAUGGUCAACCUGGGAUCAUUCUGCGUGGCACAGGAAGAUAAAGCAGGAGGGCACGAUUUCAAAGAGUACUUCAUGGAUCAUUCUACGUGGCACAGGAAGAGAAAGCAGAAGGGCACGAUUUCAACGAGUACGUCAUGCCGUAUGGAGAUCCGAAACAGCAGAAUGCUCAAGUCCAAGAGCGAGGUGGCUGCCUGCAACGAUUUCGCCUCUUGGCUCAUCAAGCUCCAAAAAGAUAAUUUCACCGACAGGAAAAUUGUCUUAGUCUUCUUUGAACCACGCCACUCCAAGAUCCUUCAGCUCUUCCAGCUUUGGAACGUUACCGUCUUCUUGAUGAUGUCAACAAGAUUUUGCUUGGAUGUGUUAAUGGCUGGGAUCUGCUCCGUCAAUAGGUGCAUGAUUUGAAGAAUGAACAUCGCAUGGUCCUUAAAGCUUUGGCUGAUCACCACCUUGGAGUCGACACACCUUUGGAGAGCGCUGUUCAACGUGCUCAAGCACUUCACAAGAUCCUUCGCAAGGUGCAUGGCGGCCGCAUCAACACUAGGGUACUUAAGGAGAACCUCAUCAGUUGCGAUCAUUUGCUCGACCAAGUCAAGAAGAUCAAAGAAGAAUUGACUAAGGAGGCUCAAUGGAGACCUGUAUUCGCUGACAUGUUUGGUCAAGGUAUCAAGCCUCGCCUGCGUGCUGGAUUCCUCCGCCAUAUGCUCGUCGAGUCGGGCAUCACCUAUGCAGGCCUUACGGAAACAUUCAAGGACAAGAAAGAUGACGGUGUGGUCGAGGUCAUCAAAGAGAACAUCAAAGGCAAGAAUGAAGCCGACGUGGAGGAAGUCAUCAAGCUGCUGAAUCAACACCUUGCGCAGCCAGCCAAGCCCGUCUGACGCGGUAGCGGCCGUCGAGCACCCCGCACUCGUUCCAUUUGCACUGCCACGGACUUGGAGAAGGAGCAGCCUGCGUCCAAGAUCGAGCCCGAGGAAAACAACAACGACCCUGUCAAAGUGAUUAUGGAUGUUAUUCCCAGCACUCCUGCGGUCCUGUUCGAAGUUUAAAAAGUCCCUCUCUCCUCGACCCGCCUGAAAUUACUUACUGCCUCCCGCCCCACUUCCCUUGUGUUAUUCACUUAACUUGUCUCGUUUUUGAAAAAUUUUGAUCUUUUUUUAAGUUUACAAGUCUUUCACACACGAAACAAACUUGCUUGUCGCUUUUGGUUAUGCUUUUCUUCUUACCAGAGAUAACACUUGCAAAAUUUAUAAAUAUACCAGAGAGCUUUUAGGUAAUUGUUUUAGUCUUCCACUAAAAUCAAUCCAGGGUGUAUAUGUGCGAUGAAAUUGUCUCUGCAGUGCCUUUGCAGUGACUUUCAUACUUGUGAGUUGAUCUCAUGGAAUGGAAUACAAAAUACUCUGAGGAAA